AAUGUGUUUAUUAGUGCUGAUUUUAUUCUCUUUAUUCUUAAGGAGUAGUUUCUAGUUUUCAGGGUUUGGUGAUUUUGAUGGAUUCUUAGCUAAUUCAAGUAAGGAGUGCUUGUCUCAUCUCAAAGGGUAAUUUGGUAUCUCAACCCUUAAGUAAAGCAAUACUGGUGAUCAUGACCCUUGUAGCUGUUGUUAUCUUCACUAGACCUAAGUGAUAGCCUAAGUCUGAAAAUUAACGAUAUCUUUUCUACAGUUAUAAUGAGCUUGGAGUAUAAAUUAAGUCACAUUGCAACAAAAUAAUCACUUUGCAUAUAGAAUGCUUUACCCCUUUGGUACU